rnacentral:rRNA from 1 species
UACGUAGGGCGCAAGCGUUGUCCGGAAUUAUUGGGCGUAAAGAGCUCGUAGGCGGUUUGUCACGUCGGAUGUGAAAUCCCGGGGCUUAACUCCGGGUCUGCAUUCGAUACGGGCUGACUAGAGUUCGGCAGGGGAGACUGGAAUUCCUGGUGUAGCGGUGAAAUGCGCAGAUAUCAGGAGGAACAACGGUGGCGAAGGCGGGUCUCUGGGCCGAUACUGACGCUGAGGAGCGAAAGCGUGGGGAGCGAACAGG